rnacentral:lncRNA from 1 species
CACCGUCACCAAACGUCAUAUCCAACCGUGAAUUCACGACUUCGCCGGCGCCUAACAACACAAUUUAGCUACCGCAAUUGUGCACGACGAACCUUCUUCUCCGCCCAAUCCUAGAGCAACUCUUUCGUGUUAAGGAUUUGAUAGGUUGGCGAAUUUCGUAAAGUUGUUUGGAGUCUUGAAGAGUUGAUCGCAGAAGUUUUUGAGAAAAGAUUCAAAUUGGAGGACAAAGACUCAUUCGGAAAGAUCGACACCUAAGGUAUGAAGAANGCUGGGAGUGUGAAAACUACCACCACAUGGAGGAAAGAGCUACCACCCCGGUCGUCCGGUUAGUGUGUGCAGCUACCACAUGUUGAUUAAAGUAUCUAUGUGCAACAAAAGAAAAUUACCUCUCAGAAAGAGAAAAAGUAAGAAUAAUUUGCUCAAAGAGCUAUACAUCUUGGAGUUGAUAUAAGGUGGAAUGUUAAUAAAAGAUGCUCAAAGAGCCACUCCUGUCUCAAACGAUGUGCAUAACUCAAUUUAAUCAUGUUAUGUUAAUUUCACAAUUUUGAGAAAUAUUUAUUUCAUUUUCUUUAACAAAAUAUGAUGAUAAAAUGAUACAAUUUAUUUCUAGAUCUUGCAUGAUGUGUGGGAUAUUAUUUUAUAUGUAUCAAGAAUUCUCUUUGAUUUUUCGGUUUAAAAUUUUGAAAUUUUGAAUAUCCCUGAAAUUGAUUUUUCAAAAUUCAUUUAUAAAAUUUUAUUUAAGUUUUUUUUUUGGGAUGAAAAUAGGUUAUUUGUGAUGAUUACAUAUUAAGAAAUACCCUUACAUUUUUUUUUUGGAUUUUUCGGGCUGUAUUUAAAAUUUUUGAAAAUUUUCUGUCUCGGAGACCGGUCUCAGGGAAGAGAGACCGGUCCCUCCGCCCGAACCGAUAUAAGGGUGUAUGCAGUUUUUUCUUUUCACUUUACCAAUCUCGCUUAGGUUUUUUUCUCCAGAGCUUCUAAUAUUCCCAGGGUAUUUUUGCUUCAAAUCUUCAUCAAUUUACACUUGAUUUAGGUACGAUUCUCGGAUUUUAUUACAUUGUUAUCUUAUAAUCCAUAUUUAAGCCUUAUUUUCGGUUUUUGAGGAUUUGUUCUUAUUAUAUUGUUAGAUCUUUGCAUUUUUGUCCUGAUUUUAUCUCUCGACGUGUUAGUCAACUUUUUCAUGCAUUGUUUCAUAUUUUGAUACAUUUGUUUGGUUGUUGUUGCUAUGCUUUCUUCAUCAAGACCUAUUUUUUCAAAUUUUUCGAAAAUUGGGAUUUUACUGAUUUUUGAUGCUUGAUUUGUUUAUGAUUUAUAUGAUCAUGUGGCCCAUAGGAUUAUCUCAUAUUUAUAUACCAAUUUGCUGAAAUUUUCUUUUUAUGAAAUUUUAUAUGUAAAUUUCAUUAUGUUUAACAGGUAAUUUUCAAAAAUGUACUCGUGGGUUCUCGUGCUAGUUGUCCUUAUGGCUGGGGGUGGUCGCGGUAGCAAGCGACAGCGCGCCUCAGCUAAGAGGCCGGUUGAGCAACAACCGGAAGAUGAAGGGAGUGAGUAUGCCCCGGGUGAUGAAUCUGAGGAGGACGAGCAGGAUUGGGAGACUUUUGUUCCUGAAGUUUUGGCUAAGGAAAAGGACGCUGGGAAAGGCAAGGGAAAAGGAAAAGCUGUGGAUAAAGGCAAAGGAAAAGCAACUGAACGUCCCAGUCGUCGUAAGUCCGGGGGUGUUGAGAUUCGAGAACCGGGCUCUGAACACCACGUCGCAGUUUACAGGAUGUUCCAUCUAAUCGACGGUUAAUGUAUUCGUCGAAACACUGCAUUGGUGAGCGAGAUGUUGGGGUGGCCAGUAUUAUUAGUUGUGUGCCGGGUUUUCAGGAUUUGUUUGAACAGGGGAAUCUNUCCAUGUCUAAAUUCACCAUAGCUUCAUCUAGAAGCUAGAUCUAAAGGGAAAUACUCAAACCCUAACAUUAAAACCAUAAAACCCUCGAAUCUUAGGUUACUUAUCUUAGAUCCAAGCUUUUCUUCAUGCUAGGCUUGCAAGGGAGGGUUGCUUCAUCACCAACCAAGCUCUUCUCCACCAUGGCUUCACCAUUGGAGCACCUCAAGGAGGGAGAGAAAGAGAUCUAGAGAAAGAGAGAGCUCUCAUGUUGGCGUUGGAGAGGAGAGAAAUGAGGGCUAAACCUCAUUAUUCCAACCUACACACUCAUCCAAACACAAUUGCAUAUAACCCCCCACACCUCUCAAUGUUUAACACAAUGAUCCAGCCCAAACUGGGCAUUUUCGGGUGCUGGGACCGAUCCCAAGCAGUGAGAGACUGGUCCCCGAAGGUCCAAAAAUUCUGCAUUCCAGACUUAGCCAAAUUUUCAGCAUUUUCAACCUUCGGGUUUGUUUUUGCUCGUUUUCGCUCAUAUGACCUCCGAUUCGUUUCAAAUCGAACCGAGACUCUCCAAACAUCUUUUCGAACAUGUUUAAACCAUCUUUUCAUCCAUGCCCUUGCUAGAUUUAGUCCAUGGUCCAUCAUAGCCUUUCGGGCCCCGUUUUCGCGCCCUACGCACAUUGAAGCAACCGAAUGCUUCCGAACUUCACCGUAACCAUUCUAACGGCUUUCCAAGCUAACAUACACCAUAACUUCAUAAUUAUAGAAGUUCGGCAUGUUACAUUCUCCACCCCUUAAAAUAAGUUUCGUCCGCGAAACUUAGAUCCAAACCACAACUCCUCUCAUCAAACAGAUGAGGACAGAUCCACGCACUACUACUCGAGUGUCCACAGAUCUCGUGCUCUAUGCGCUCAUUUCGAUGUUCAUCUAUAAACAGAACCACAUCGUUUUGUGACGUCCUCUCUUCACGAGUCCGGAAUGCACAUCAAUUGGCUUUCCUAAGUCACUUUCUCAAGUAAUGGUGCAUUCCCCCAGUCUCGACGGAAAUAUUGACUUACGAGUCACCGCAACCACAAACACUCCAAUCCUUAUAGGGUUCAUUGUACCGAGAACUAACCUUUCCUCGACACCAACCCAAUUACCCCACAUGGGUGACACCGUCACCAAACGUCAUAUCCAACCGUGAAUUCACGACUUCGCCGGCGCCUAACAACACAAUUUAGCUACCGCAAUUGUGCACGACGAACCUUCUUCUCCGCCCAAUCCUAGAGCAACUCUUUCGUGUUAAGGAUUUGAUAGGUUGGCGAAUUUCGUAAAGUUGUUUGGAGUCUUGAAGAGUUGAUCGCAGAAGUUUUUGAGAAAAGAUUCAAAUUGGAGGACAAAGACUCAUUCGGAAAGAUCGACACCUAAGGUAUGAAGAAAAGAUCAUUUGUGGUGAAGUUACUGAUUAAAAUAAGUUCAGAAGGCUUAGAUUGAUUUUAAACAAAUUUUCUGAACUUUCUUGUGUUC